rnacentral:rRNA from 1 species
UGUGGUUACUAUAGCAAGGAGGAUACACCUGUUCCCAUUCCGAACACAGAAGUUAA